rnacentral:rRNA from 1 species
CCUACGAGGGUGCUGCAGUGGGGAAUAUUGGACAAUGGGCGAAAGCCUGAUCCAGCCAUGCCGCGUGUGUGAAGAAGGCCUUCGGGUUGUAAAGCACUUUCAGUGGGGAAGAAAGCCUUGGGGCUAAUACCCUCGAGGAAGGACAUCACCCACAGAAGAAGCACCGGCUAACUCCGUGCCAGCAGCCGCGGUAAUACGGAGGGUGCGAGCGUUAAUCGGAAUUACUGGGCGUAAAGCGCGCGUAGGCGGUCUGAUAAGCCGGUUGUGAAAGCCCCGGGCUCAACCUGGGAACGGCAUCCGGAACUGUCAGGCUAGAGUGCAGGAGAGGAAGGUAGAAUUCCCGGUGUAGCGGUGAAAUGCGUAGAGAUCGGGAGGAAUACCAGUGGCGAAGGCGGCCUUCUGGACUGACACUGACGCUGAGGUGCGAAAGCGUGGGUAGCAAACAGGAUUAGAUACCCCAGUAGUC